rnacentral:rRNA from 1 species
GGGUCAGUAGGUUGGUCGUGCCACCGGUACGUACUGGUCUCACUGAUUCCUCCUUCCUGAAGAACCGUAAUGCCAUUAAUUUGGUGUUGCGGGGAAACAGGACUGUUACUUUGAAAAAAUUAGGGUGUUUAAAGCAAGCUAACGCUUGAAUACAUUAGCAUGGAAUAAUGAAAUAGGACGAUCGAUCCUAUUUUGUUGGUUUCUAGGAUUGACGCA